AUGAAAUACUACUCAACAAUAAAAACCAGUGAACUCUUGAUAUGUGAAACAACAUGGAUUAAUCUAAAAAUAAUUAUGCAGAGUGAAAGAAGCCAUACCAAAUAAGAAUACAUACUGCUUGAGCCCAUCAUUUAAAUUCAAUGAAAUGCAAGCUAAACUAUAGUGACAGAAAGCAGGCACAUCAUUGACUAGGACUUGGUGGGCAAGGAGGGGCAUGAGGGAAAGAUUACAAAGGAGCAAGAGGAAACUUUUUAAGGUGAUGAAUAUAUUCAUUAUUGUAAUUGUACUGAUGGUUUUGUGUGUACAUAAAUUUUAAAAAUUAUUGCACACUUAAAUAUGUCAACUAUCUUUAAUAAAGCUGAUAAAAUAUUAAAUACUUCAGAAAUACUAGAAAGGAAAUAAAAAGUCUAACCAUAUGUGAUGGUUUAUUUCAGGUGUCAACUCGACUGAACUGGGGGAUGCUUCUGGAUGUGUCUGUGAGGGUGUUUCCAGAAGAGAUUAACCUGUGAGUCAGUGGACUGACAGAAGAAGACCCACUCUCAAUGUGGGCAGGCACCGUACGAUCAGUUGGGGGCCUAGGGAUGAGAAAAAACAGGGGAAAAAAGAGGUGAUUGGUGAUUCUCUCUAUCUCCCUCCCUCUUCUCUCUUUCCCUCCAUCCCUUUCUCCUCCCCCGACACUCCUUUCCUGGAGCAGGAUACUUGUUCUCCUUCUGCCUUUGGACACAAGACUCCAAGUUUUUCAGCUUUUGGACUCAGCAACUUGCACCAGAGGUUUCCCAGGGCUCUGGUGCCUGACUGGGAAGCUGGACUGUCAGCUUCCCUGGUUCUGGGGUUCCUGAACAUGGACUGAGCCACUACUGGAUUCUCUUCUCCUUGGUGAUACCAUGAGCCAAUUUCCCUUAAUAAAUCCCCUUCCAUAUAUCCUACUGGUUCUGUUUCUCUUAGAGAACACUGAUUAAUACACCAUGAAUGGGGAGAAGAUAAUUGCCACAUAUACAGGCUAGAAAAAGUUAGGAUUUAGCAAAUAUGCAGAGCCCCUAGGAAUCAGUAAGAAAAAUGUUAACAACUCAAUACAGAAGUGGAUAAAAGUAAUGGAGAGAAAUGUCACAUAAGUGGCUCUCAAACAUAUAAAAUUUUAUACACAUUUUUUUCAGCACACAAAUUAAAACCACUUUUCAGAUUGGUUAAACUAGACUUUUGGAAACACUGGUUUUACUGGUUAUUGUUCUGGAAUGAGACAGAUCUGGGUUGAAAUGAAGUAUAUAUGGUUCUUGAUUUCCUAGGUAUAAAAAUUUGGGCAAGUUAUAUUACCUGUAUCUGUCUGAUCUUCAUUUUGUGAAAUGGGAAUAUAACAGGUCUUUAGAUAUAUUACUUCAUAUAAUUCACAAAACAGUCAAUUGUUGUGCGAAUUAUGUGAAGUAAUAUAUUUAAAGGGUUUUAGUGCAGAGCCUGGUAGAUAAGAUAAGCUUUUGUAAAUUUUAGUUACAAUUACAAUUGUUGGUGGUGAGGUUGUGAUUUUGUAGCCCAGAGGUCAGCUGGGGCCAUUCAGCUACUUAACUCUACAAAAAGUUGAUUCCAAUCCCAAUUACAUGGAUUUUAUAUCCAAAACUUUCCCCAUGAUUUUAUACACACCUCUUAUAGGUUUAUAUUUACAUAUACAGGUCAUAUAUUUUCUGAGACUCUCUGGUUUUCUGAUUUCCUGUCUGUCAAGAGUUUUUGGUCUUUGUUCGAUAAUAUCUUACAGCUAUUCAUUUCUCUGUCAUAAUUUUAAGUCAAAGGUGAAAAUGCCCUUUAUACUUUAUCAUUUCCUUCAGAGUAACCACAAAGAUGGGCCGUUGCUUGUAGCAAAACUUUAAUUGAAGAUUUGGGGGCUACCUUAAGUGAUACAUAGGAAACAACUCAGAAUCAAUUGUUAGAUCCUUUAUCUGCAAUAGCUGCUCCUGACUCCUUCAAUCUUACUAAUUUUCCCUUUCUAUCUCCCUUCUUUCCAGAUUACUCUUAAUUUUGAAUUCUCCUUUAAUUAAACAGACCAUUUCAGCUCUCUAGCCACUCCUACACUUGCAUAGUUACUGAUAAAACAAAUGGCUUUUAUUUAGCAAGAGUCAUUGUUUCUUAGAGAAUACAUGUGGUUAUAAGUAGUAUAUAAUAAAAUGUUUGGAAAUAAAAAAGUAAAAAUCACCUUAAUGUUCUGCAGUGGUUCUGCCAUAUCCAACAGAUAGUAUUUAAAUAGCAACUUCAACUUAUAGGUCAGAAAAACUAAGAAAUUAUAUUUGAAUUCAUUCUCUUUAAUUAGACCCUGAAUAAUUAUUUAACAUAAUUUUUAAAAGAAAUUAAACUUGAGUUUCCUUCUUUAUCCUUUCUGUGUUUCCAAAUAAUCAUGAGUUAUAGUGGUAAGACCCUCUAACACAUCUGUGUGAAGUUCAGUGAAACACUGGCUUGGGAAUCUAGAGCCUUGGUUUCAGUCCUGUUUUUUUCUCAGACGAUUUAACAAAUCCACUUAACCUAACUCUCUGUUUUCUCUAUUUUCAAAAUGGAGUGGAGAGCAUUCAUUUUCUACUGCUGCUGUAACAAAUUACUAUAAAGUUUGUGGCUUAAAACAACACAAAAUCGUCUUAUAGUUCAGAAGGUUAGAAGCCUAACACAGGUCUCACUGGGCUAAAAUCAAGAUGUGAGAAGGGUUGUGUUCCUUUCUGGAGACUAGAGGAGAAUUGGUUUCCCUGUUCUUUCUACCUCCUAGAGGCUGCCCAUAUUCCACAAUUAUUGGCCCCCUUCCUCCAUCUUCAAAGCCAGCAAUGGCAUUGAGUGCUUCUUACAGCUCAUCACUCUUACUUCCUCUUCAGCCUCUCUCUUCCACUUUUAAGGACCUUUGUGAUUACAGUGGGUGCACAGGGAUAGUCCAGGAUAAUCUCCCUAUUUUCACAUGAACUAAUUAGAAAAAAUUUAAUUUUCCUUUUUCAUGCAAGGUACCAUAUUCACAAACUGUAGGAAUUAGGACAUGGACAUCUUUGGGAGAGGCAUAAUUCUGCCUACCACAUCAGGUUGACAGAAUAUUUCUAGUAUGUUUAAUCCAAAAUGUCUACGACUUCAUAAUAAAGCUCACCACAUGUUUUUUAGGGGGAAAGGGAUACUCCAAACAGCUCUACUGAGA
rnacentral:lncRNA from 10 species